rnacentral:lncRNA from 1 species
UGUAAGGCCCAAUUUUAUGCCCAGGCCCGAAUAUUAAAACAAUAAACAACAGUCCAAUUACAAAAUAACAAACCAACCCACUACCUAGCCCAACAGCAGAAACCCUAGCCCAAAUAAAAAAAAACAAAUGUUUGCAGCAGAAAACCCUAGGCGCAGCAUGCCUAGGGCGCGCCGCUCAGCCUCGUCUGUCCCCCUCACGCUCGCACGCCUCAGCCUUGGCCACCACGACGCCCACGCGUCUGACACUCCCACCUGCUCCACCGUGCCCACCACCUGCAACAAGAACAGACACCACAGCAAGGAAAGCAUGCAAAUGAUGGGGAAAACAAUAAACAAAAGGAACAAAACAAAUAUAUUGGCUUUAAAAGCCGAAAUCGGU